UUUGGAUGUGAAUGGAAACCGGAAAGAAAGUGAAAAUAGUGGUGUGGGACCCACAUCCAACUUUUCCUUCCAAAGUUGCGAAGAAAACUAAUGACAACUCUACAAUGAAAGUAAAAUGAUAAAUUUACCCAUGUUGUUAACAUCGAAGAAAAAUUCCUAAUGUAAGCUAUCUGUCUCUGAAACUUGGAGAGACUUCUCUUCUCCACCGCAUCUUCAUCGUUGUGCUCGACAGUGCUACCGCGGCUUCAUUUUCGUUGUCCACAAGCCACGACAGCUUCGUCAUCGUCGUGACAGCUCUUUCUCCUCUUCAUCAUUGCAAAUUCAAGCCAAAUGGUUCGACCUGUGAAAUCUGGAUAUUCCAUACAGUUCGACAACAGAAGGUGCCUGCUGCUGCGUAGUGUUUGGCUUGUGUGUGUUGGUGAUUCCCGUUUGGGUUAGAUAAUGCCGAAUAAGGGAAAUAAAACAGCAGAAGCCAAUCAACCUUUGAAAGAUAAUUUAAGAUGGUCUGAUGAUAUGGAUGAAGUUUUGCUAAAUGUAUUAGCAGAGAAAGCAUCGAAAGGUAAUAGGCACGAUGGCUCGUGGACAACUGAAACAUAUGCCAAUGUUGUGAAGACUUUGAGUAUAGCAAUAGGCCCUCACAUAACAAAGAAUCACAUAAAGAAUAGAAUGAAGAUAUUGAAAAAUCAUUUUGCUGAGACAUAUGACUUAUUUCAUCACUUAAGUGAAUUUGCAUGGAAUUCUGUAACUAGAAAGUUUGAAACUGAAGAGGAAGUGUGACAAGACUUCAUUAAGGUAUCUUAAACUUUGCUUUUAUUACUUAUACUAUUGAUGAAGUUAGUCAAUGAAUAAUUUCAACACUUGUUUAUGUAAGAGAAACCACAAGCAGAAAAAUGAAAAAAAUACAAAUUAAGAAUUAUGAUACUUUGAAGGAGUUGUUCGGAGCUGAUAGAGCUACUGGUAAAGGGGCUGCUACGUCACGAGAAAGGAUUCAAAAAAUUGAUAGAGAUCAUAUUGAUUUGAAUGACUCAUUUGAAAAUAUUGAAUUUUCUGACAUAGAUGUUAAUAUGGGACAUGAUACCCCAACGUUUUCUGCUAAUUUAGAUUCACCAAGUGCUCCUCAUAGUCAACCAAAUCAAUUAGGUGGGACUUCAACGUCAAGAGGAACAAAGCAUAAGUCUCCUAUGAAUGAUUUUUUGGAGGCACAAUAUGAGAAAGUUGCUUUGAGAAUUACUACCAUGGCCGAUGCUGUCAAAGAGGGUACUUAUCUGUCUAGCAAGCUACAUGACGUAGCUCAGAGGCAGGUUGAAUCAGACAAGCUUCAGUGGCUGAGAGGCAAGUUUCAGUUGCUGAAAAGCAAGUCUCGUUAAUUGAAAGACAAGUUGCAAUUACUGAAAAAGGGUUGGCUAUUAUGCAACAAAGUAGGCCUCGCCUUUAUAGCGAAUCAGAUGUAUGGGAUAUGUUGACUGAAUUAGGACUGAUAGGUUCAGCUCGGAUGCAGUGUUAUCAGUUUUUAUGUGAAAAUGAGCAGAAAAAGCGCCAAAUAUUUGGGAUCCCACUUGAAAUGCGAUUGGAUGCUCUUUUUUAUUUCAUGACAGCUGCUGGUGUUCGCUUAGGAGAUAUGGUACUUUCAUAAAACAUUAACCAUUACAAGAAUCAUAACUUGAAAAUGUUUGGGAACAAGAAGUACGCUGCUUAGUACAAGUAAAAAUCGAUCAUGUGUUAAUAUUUUUGACUCAGAUAAACUUUAUUUUUUUGAUAGAUGGGUACAGAUGGCUCAAGCUAUGUAGAAUUGAUUUUUUGGAAGUAGGCGAUGUCGCUGACCAUGAAGAAUUACCGUUUUGAAAAGUGUUGUCUGAUGAUAAAAUAGUACUCUCUAGGAAUUCUUUUGAUUAUUACUUUUUUGGCGUUUUGUUAUAUGUUUAUAAAAAUUGUAUAUGAUUUUUGGUCGCACGUACUUGGAAAGAAAUGCUACUAACUUUUGAUAAUAUUUUAUUUUGUAAAUACAAUUUAGUGAAAUUUUUUUUUAAAUAUGCUUAAGGAGAUUAAUGA